GAUGAACGCUGGCGGCGUGCCUAAUACAUGCAAGUCGAGCGAACGGACGAGAAGCUUGCUUCUCUGAUGUUAGCGGCGGACGGGUGAGUAACACGUGGAUAACCUACCUAUAAGACUGGGAUAACUUCGGGAAACCGGAGCUAAUACCGGAUAAUAUUUUGAACCGCAUGGUUCAAAAGUGAAAGACGGUCUUGCUGUCACUUAUAGAUGGAUCCGCGCUGCAUUAGCUAGUUGGUAAGGUAACGGCUUACCAAGGCAACGAUGCAUAGCCGACCUGAGAGGGUGAUCGGCCACACUGGAACUGAGACACGGUCCAGACUCCUACGGGAGGCAGCAGUAGGGAAUCUUCCGCAAUGGGCGAAAGCCUGACGGAGCAACGCCGCGUGAGUGAUGAAGGUCUUCGGAUCGUAAAACUCUGUUAUUAGGGAAGAACAUAUGUGUAAGUAACUGUGCACAUCUUGACGGUACCUAAUCAGAAAGCCACGGCUAACUACGUGCCAGCAGCCGCGGUAAUACGUAGGUGGCAAGCGUUAUCCGGAAUUAUUGGGCGUAAAGCGCGCGUAGGCGGUUUUUUAAGUCUGAUGUGAAAGCCCACGGCUCAACCGUGGAGGGUCAUUGGAAACUGGAAAACUUGAGUGCAGAAGAGGAAAGUGGAAUUCCAUGUGUAGCGGUGAAAUGCGCAGAGAUAUGGAGGAACACCAGUGGCGAAGGCGACUUUCUGGUCUGUAACUGACGCUGAUGUGCGAAAGCGUGGGGAUCAGACAGGGUUAGAUACCCUGGUAGUCCACGCCGUAAACGAUGAGUGCUAAGUGUUAGGGGGUUUCCGCCCCUUAGUGCUGCAGCUAACGCAUUAAGCACUCCGCCUGGGGAGUACGACCGCAAGGUCGAAACUCAAAGGAAUUGACGGGGACCCGCACAAGCGGUGGAGCAUGUGGUUUAAUUCGAAGCAACGCGAAGAACCUUACCAAAUCUUGACAUCCUUUGACAACUCUAGAGAUAGAGCCUUCCCCUUCGGGGGACAAAGUGACAGGUGGUGCAUGGUUGUCGUCAGCUCGUGUCGUGAGAUGUUGGGUUAAGUCCCGCAACGAGCGCAACCCUUAAGCUUAGUUGCCAUCAUUAAGUUGGGCACUCUAAGUUGACUGCCGGUGACAAACCGGAGGAAGGUGGGGAUGACGUCAAAUCAUCAUGCCCCUUAUGAUUUGGGCUACACACGUGCUACAAUGGACAAUACAAAGGGCAGCGAAACCGCGAGGUCAAGCAAAUCCCAUAAAGUUGUUCUCAGUUCGGAUUGUAGUCUGCAACUCGACUACAUGAAGCUGGAAUCGCUAGUAAUCGUAGAUCAGCAUGCUACGGUGAAUACGUUCCCGGGUCU
rnacentral:rRNA from 1 species